rnacentral:lncRNA from 1 species
AAUCAUGCUGGCAACGGGGUUGCUAUAGAAACUUCACAUAUAGGCUGGAGUUUGUCACCAGAGAAAAAGCAGGAGAGAGAGAGAGAGGUGGCUGUGUUGAAUGCUCACAGGAGAGGCAUCAAAGGCUUAGCUGGAGAAACCGGAGAGGAGGGCUGUUUUCACCCUGCAGCACAGUCUAUCAUAAAUAUUAAGCGGCGCCCUCCUCCACAGCGCCGGCUCCAUCGUUGCCCUUUUAAUGAGGUGAUAUCCAGACACACGGGAGCAGAUGUUGCAAGGAAAACACACUGUGACGUGAUUGUGAUCGAUGCGCGCCUCCCACCGCAUCCACUGCAUAAUUCGGUGGAUGGCAUCAGGAUAACAACCUGCAUUAUGUGGAGACAGCUGUCGCCACAGAGCCCGGGCAGCCACGGUAUUGGCUCCCGCCUUAUUUCAGGCAGAGGCGGGAAGCCAAUUAGAGUGAUUUACAGCUUGCUUGUGUCGUCAACACCUUGAAACUUGUGUUCCAGUCCAGACAAAUAAAAUGCUUGGCUACCUGGAUCAAAAUGGGGGUGUCAGGCAGCAGGUUUAUUUAUUGGCUAAAUUUAAUGUAAUUUUGCUCCAGGCAGAAGCUAAUGUGAACAUAUUCUUUAAGUGAAGCAAAGGGGGUCAAGUAAAUAAUAUCAGCCUUCAUUAAAUUGAAUUUACAGAACUUUAGAUGCGUCCCUUUGUUUCUGAUUGUUGCUCGUGCAGCUUUUCUGUAAUAAUCUAUCAUAAUUAUGAUUUUUUUAAAUAUAAAUUUGCUAACUUCAAAGAUGUAAAUGAGUGGAGGCAGCAGGGUUGUGUGGUGAUGGGAUGGAAAACGAGAGCUCUCUCUAGUCAGAAUUACAGACGUUUGCAGCUGAAUGUGGCGUAGCGUCGAGCCUCGUGGGCUUUGCUGCUGCACCUGGAGCCAGAGCUGUUAGUUAGCAGGUGGGAACUGAUAGACUGAACUUGCUAAUUAUUCACACAAUAGUGCUUAUUAAUGUUACAGCGAUCUUUUAAUGAUUCAGCAGUGAGGAACCAUGAGAAACACGAUUUCCCCCAAACUCAGGAUGCUGUGAAAAAAAAAAAGAAAAAAAAAGGGGGCAAUAAGAAAUUACAAGAAAGCUUCUAAGAGAGCCCAGGCUGUGUUGAAGAAUAAAGGUGAUCAUAGCAAAUAUUGUCUUUCAUGCUGGUUAGAAUUGUUUUUACCUCAUAUGCUGCGUUUACAUUUAUAUAUGAAGAAAUCCAGGGCUGGCUCAAAACUCACAGUAUUGUGUCUUGGUGAGGAGUGCAGUCAAUUUUAAAAGCACCGUAUUUCACCUUUUAAAUGAAUUCUUCAUUCUUUUACCGUCAGCUAAGCCUGUGGCAUAAACAAACCAGUCUCAGUGAAUGACAUCACUGAGAGCCACGAGCUGGAACCGCUCCUGUCCGGUAGGUGGCGAUAAUGCCACAUAUAAGACGCAAAGAAGAAGCCGUCGCUCGCUUAUGACGUAUAUUUAACAGGACCUUUAGCUUCGGUGAUUGUAGCGAUUUUCAGUGCAGGA